GGAUUGCCUCAGUAACGGCGAGUGAAGCGGCAACAGCUCAAAUUUGAAAUCUGAAGCUUUCAGCUUCCGAGUUGUAAUUUGAAGAGGAUGCUUCGGUUGUAGCUUGGGCCUAAGUUCCUUGGAACAGGACGUCGUAGAGGGUGAGAAUCCCGUUCACGGCUGCCGGCUUUCAACCAUGUGUAGCUCCUUCGAAGAGUCGAGUUGUUUGGGAAUGCAGCUCAAAAUGGGUGGUAAAUUUCAUCUAAAGCUAAAUACUGGCGAGAGACCGAUAGCGCACAAGUAGAGUGAUCGAAAGAUGAAAAGCACUUUGAAAAGAGAGUUAAACAGUACGUGAAAUUGUUGAAAGGGAAGCGUUUGCAAUCAGACUUGCUUGCGGUUGAUCAUCGUUCCUUCUGGUUCGUGCACUCUGCCGUUUGCAGGCCAGCAUCGGUUAGAGCGGUGGGACAAAGGCUGCGGGAAUGUGGCUCCUUUCGGGGAGUGUUAUAGCCCGUUGCGUAAUGCCACCUGUUCUGACCGAGGUCCGCGCUUCUGCUAGGAUGCUGGCAUAAUGAUUGUAAACGACCCGUCUUGAAACACGGACCAAGGAGUCUAACAUCUAUGCGAGUGUUUGGGUGUCAAACCCAUGCGCGAAAUGAAAGUGAACGGAGGUGGGAGUCUUCGGAUGCACCAUCGACCGAUCCUGAUGUCUUCGGAUGGAUUUGAGUAUGAGCAUAGCUGUUGGGACCCGAAAGAUGGUGAACUAUGCCUGAAUAGGGUGAAGCCAGAGGAAACUCUGGUGGAGGCUCGCAGCGGUUCUGACGUGCAAAUCGAUCGUCAAAUUUGGGUAUAGGGGCGAAAGACUAAUCGAACA
rnacentral:rRNA from 1 species